UGGGGAAUUUUGCACAAUGGGGGAAACCCUGAUGCAGCGACGCCGCGUGAUUUAGAAGGCCUUCGGGUUGUAAAAAUCUUUUCUAUGGGAAGAAAAUGACAGUACCAUAGGAAUAAGGACCGGCUAAUUACGUGCCAGCAGCCGCGGUAAUACGUAAGGUCCGAGCGUUGUCCGGAAUCAUUGGGCGUAAAGGGUACGUAGGCGGGUAAGCAAGUUAGAAGUGAAAUCCUAUAGCUCAACUAUAGUAAGCUUUUAAAACUGCUCAUCUUGAGGUAUGGAAGGGAAAGUGGAAUUCCUAGUGUAGCGGUGAAAUGCGCAGAUAUUAGGAGGAAUACCGGUGGCCAAGGCGACUUUCUGGCCAUAACCUGACGCUGAGGUACGAAAGCGUGGGUAGCAAACAGG
rnacentral:rRNA from 1 species